rnacentral:rRNA from 1 species
UACGUAGGGUGCAAGCGUUGUCCGGAAUUAUUGGGCGUAAAGAGCUCGUAGGCGGUCUGUCGCGUCUGCUGUGAAAACUCAGGGCUUAACCCUGAGCUUGCAGUGGGUACCGGCAGACUAGAGUGCGGUAGGGGAGACUGGAAUUCCUGGUGUAGCGGUGAAAUGCGCAGAUAUCAGGAGGAACACCGGUGGCGAAGGCGGGUCUCUGGGCCGUAACUGACGCUGAGGAGCGAAAGCAUGGGGAGCGAACAGG